AGCUUCCUCAGGCUCCAGGAGGUGGAUGUGGAGCUGAACAGACCCGGCAGCUCUUGGGGUGGAGACACCUUGCAUGGAAUUCCCCCACCCCCUCAAGCCACAGACUGUUUCUACAGGGCUCGUAAGAUUGCUAUUCUUCCUGGACAAUAAGCAGUCUCAGCUUCCACCUCAUUGGAACUAUGACUUCUGAACCCACUGAAUCCAGGCUAUGGGGAUGAGAAGCGGUAAUUAUUGAAGUCAAGCAGUCCUGUGCAGGGAGGACUCACUCUGAAGGCCAAGGAAUGGACUCCAGGACCGAAGCUCAUUAAUAUCACUAGCAUCCUGACAAAUGGGAGGCCGGCAAGCCAGACCGUGUGGCCACUUGGUCACAAGGUGGGGGUCUGCCCCGGGGCCCUGCGCACAUUGAGUGGACGGGCACAAGUGCCAUCCAUAUUUCUCUGCACAGCUCUGGCCCCCACCUCUCACGUCAGCCUGCUGAGCCGGCUUGGCCGAUCUUCCUGGGCUUCACAAAGAAGAUUUAUUCUUCAAGACUGACCUAC